UACGUAGGGAGCAAGCGUUGUUCGGAUUUACUGGGCGUAAAGGGCGCGUAGGCGGCGCGGUAAGUCACUUGUGAAAUCUCUGAGCUUAACUCAGAACGGCCAAGUGAUACUGCAGUGCUAGAGUGCAGAAGGGGCAAUCGGAAUUCUUGGUGUAGCGGUGAAAUGCGUAGAUAUCAAGAGGAACACCUGAGGUGAAGACGGGUUGCUGGGCUGACACUGACGCUGAAGCGCGAAAGCCAGGGGAGCAAACGGG
rnacentral:rRNA from 1 species